rnacentral:lncRNA from 1 species
GCUUCCUCUGAGACCCUGAGAUACUGGUGUGAACAAGCUCCUAGGAUGCUGGGAUCCUGAAAUCCUUAGUUCCUUGGUGUGUUACAGCCUCUGGAAUUGGUACCUCCUCUGGGGACUGUGGGGCUAUCUGCUGUAUUCAAAACCAAUGUAUACCAGAGAAGACCAGAAGGAACCCAAACUGCGUGUCAGAACUGUAGGACAAAGAUGGAGAAGACCCUGAGGGAAAGGAAGUCCAGUGACAGGUCCAAAUUGGGAUCAAGCACAGGGGAGGCUCCAAGGCCUAACACUAUUACUGAUGCUAUGGUGUGCUAACAGACAGAAGCCUAGGAUGACUGACCUCUAAGAGACCCAACAAGCAGCUGAAAAGACAGAUGCAGAUACUUGCACCCAAUUAAUGGACAGAAGCUGGAGAUCCCUGUGGUUGAUUUAGGGAAAAGCUGAAAGAAGCUGAGGAGGAGGACAACCCCUUAAGAAGACCAGCAGUCUCAACUAACCUCCACCUUGGGGACCACUGAGACAGUGAGCCACCAACCAAGCAGCAUACACCAGCUGAUGCGAAGCCCCAACACAUUUACAGCAAAGGACUACCCAAUCUGGCCUCAGUGAGAGAAGAUGCACCUAACCCUCUAGAGACUGGAGACCUCAAGGAGUGGGGAGGUCUGGUGGGGUGUGUGUUGUGGCAUGGAGACAUCCUCUUGUUGAUGGGGGAAGAGCUGUGGAAUGAGAAACUUCAGAGGGAAGACAGGAAAGGAAUAACAACU